UCUUCGGCAAUGGACGAAAGUCUGACCGAGCAACGCCGCGUGAGCGAAGAAGGCCUUCGGGUCGUAAAGCUCUGUUGUUAGAGAAGAACAUGGGUGAGAGUAACUGUUCACCCCUUGACGGUAUCUAACCAGAAAGCCACGGCUAACUACGUGCCAGCAGCCGCGGUAAUACGUAGGUGGCAAGCGUUGUCCGGAAUUAUUGGGCGUAAAGCGCGCGCAGGCGGUCUCUUAAGUCUGAUGUGAAAGCCCCCGGCUCAACCGGGGAGGGUCAUUGGAAACUGGGAGACUUGAGGACAGAAGAGGAGAGUGGAAUUCCAAGUGUAGCGGUGAAAUGCGUAGAUAUAUGGAGGAACACCAGUGGCGAAGGCGGCUCUCUGGUCUGUUACUGACGCUGAGGCGCGAAAGCGUGGGGAGCAAACAGG
rnacentral:rRNA from 1 species